rnacentral:rRNA from 1 species
CCUACGGGUGGCAGCAGUGAGGAAUAUUGGUCAAUGGGCGCGAGCCUGAACCAGCCAAGUAGCGUGAAGGAAGAAUGCCCUGCGUGUUGUAAACUUCUUUUAUAAAGGAAUAAAGUGAGGGACGAGUGCCAUGUUGUGUGUACUUGAUGAAUAAGGAUCGGCUAACUCCGUGCCAGCAGCCGCGGUAAUACGGAGGAUUCGAGCGUUAUCCGGAUUUAUUGGGGUUAAAGGGAGCGCAGGUGGGGUGUUAAGUCAGUGGGGAAAGUUUGGGGCUUAACCGUCAAAUUGCCGUUGAUACUGGCAGCCUUGAGUUGAGUUGAGGUAGGCGGAAUGCGCGGUGUAGCGGUGAAAUGCUUAGAUAUCACGCAGAACCCCGAUUGCGAAGGCAGCUCACUGG